UGUCUCAAAGAUUAAGCCUGCAUGUCUAAGUACAAGCCGCCUGUGCGGCGAGACUGCGGACGGCUCAUUAAAUCGGUUAUGACUCCACUGGGGCCAGACUCUCCACGUGGAUAACGUGCGGUAACUCCGGUGCUAAUACGCAACAAGGCUCCGACCGCGGCUUCGGUCGCGGGAAGGGCGCACUUAUUAGGCGAAAACCGACCGGCCGUUCGCGGCCGUUGGUGGACGACACCCGAGUAAUUGCCGCCGAUCGCACGGCCUCGAGCCGGCGACGCCGCCACCGAGUUUCUGAUCUAUCAUGCUGUCGACGGUUGGUGCUAUGCCAACCGUGGCGUUAACGGAUAACAGAGAAUCUGGGUUCGAUUCCGGAGAGGGAGCCUAGANNGCUACCCCAUCUACGGAAGGCAGCAGGCGCGCAAAUUACCCACUCCCGGCACGGGGAGGUAGUGACGAAAAAUAACAAUACGGGACUUUUUAUAGGCCCCGUAAUUGGAAUGAGUACACCUUAAAACCAUUAACGAGGACCAAUUGGAGGGCAAGUCUGGUGCCAGCAGCCGCGGUAAUUCCAGCUCCAAUAGCGUAUAUUAAAGUUGUUGCAGUUAAAAAGCUCGUAGUUGGAUNUGAGGAUUAGAGCCCCAGGUUGGCCGCAUGGGGCUACACUUGCGGCUCAGCCUGCAUAGUCGGUGAUUGUUUUGGUGCUCUUAACUGAGUGCCUUAACUGCCCGGCCACCGUUUACUUUGAAAAAUUGGAGUGCUCAAAUCAGGCCCAAUGCCUGAACAGAUGUGCAUGGAAUAAUGGAAAAGGACUUCGCCUCUAUUUUGUUGGUUUUCCCACCACGAACUAAUGAUUAAGAGGGACCGCCGGCGGCCUCUCUAUUGCGGCGGGAGACGGGCAACUCUCUCAGCAUCUCAAAGANNCGAACUACUGCGAAAGCAUUUGCCAAGAAUGUUUUCAUUGUCAAGAACGAAAGUCAGAGGUGCGAAGGCGAUCAGAUACCGCCGUAGUUCUGACCGUAAACGAUGCCGACUGGCAAUUGGGCGCACUUCUGCCGAAGUUGCGGCCAGUAUUCAACCCGGGAAACCAAAGUCACUGGGCUCCGGGGGGAGUAUGGUUGCAAAGCUGAAACUUAAAGGAAUUGACGGAAGGGCACCACCAGGAGUGGAGCCUGCGGCUUAAUUUGACUCAACACGGGAAACCUCACCCGGCCCGAACACUGUUAUGACAGACAGGUUGAGAGCUCUUUCUCGAUUCAGUGGUUGGUGGUGCAUGGCCGUUCUUAGUUCGUGGAGCGAUCUGUCUGGUUAAUUCCGAUAACGAACGAGACUCUUGCCUGCUAAAUAGACGGCGCCGACGCAAGUCACGGCGACCGCUCGCUUCUUAGAGGGACAAGCGGCUCUUAGCCGCGUGAAGCAAAGAGCAAUAACAGGUCUGUGAUGCAAGCGGGGCCCGCACGCGCGCUACACUGCUUGCAUCAACGUGUGCGACCCUCGCCUGACGGCGUGGGCAAUCCGUUGAAACGCAAGCGUGCUAGGGAUCGGAGAUUGCAAUUGUUCUCCGUCAACGAGGAAUUCCUUGUACUUGCGAGUCAUCAGCUCGCGGGGAAUCUGUCCCUGCCCUUUGUACACACCGCCCGUCGCUACUACCGAUUGAGUGGUUUAGUGAGGCUCACGGACCGCUCGCGGCACCCGGCGAAAGCCGCGUCGCGAGUAGAAAGUGAUACGAACUUGAUCACUUCUAGGAAGUAAAAGUCGUAACAAGGUUUUCGUAGGUGAACCUGCGGAAGGAUCA
rnacentral:rRNA from 1 species